GCAGUUCAAAAACAUGAAAAAGGAGCAAGUAAUACAAUAUGUCGUCAGGUCCAUAAAGCGAUGGCUACUGCAAGCUCCUGACAUAAAUGUUAUUUUGGUUACAAAUUUAUACUUAUUUUGCAAUUUCUUCACUCUUGGCUAUUUUUGGGUAACUUGGUUGUAUUUACUAAAUUUAUGAGAUUCAGCUUGACAAGCAGAAAAGUUCGGAAAUCGAGAACAAAAGUUAGUUCAAGCAAGCAUCAAAUUGAAAUGAUGGUUGAAGUUUAACCGUUUGCUAACUUUUAUAUGUAUUGUAUUGCAAGACAAUUUUAUUGAAAUAAAAAUAUUUGGGAUAAUAAAACAUAUUGCUAAAA